UGCGUAGGCGGACUAAUAAGUCAGUGGUGAAAUCUUUCGGCUCAACCGGGAAACUGCCAUUGAUACUGUUAGUCUUGAGUUCGGUUGAGGUAGGCGGAAUGUGUAAUGUAGCGGUGAAAUGCUUAGAUAUUACACAGAACACCAACUGCGUAGGCAGCUUACUAGACCGACACUGACGCUGAGGCACGAAAGCGUGGGGAGCGAACAGGAUUAGAUACCCUGGUAGUCC
rnacentral:rRNA from 1 species